UACGGGGGGAGCAAGCGUUGUUCGGAUUUACUGGGCGUAAAGGGCGCGUAGGCGGCCAGUGCAAGUCAGUUGUGAAAUCUCCGAGCUUAACUCGGAAAGGUCAACUGAUACUGCUCGGCUAGAGCGCGGAAGGGGCAACUGGAAUUCUUGGUGUAGCGGUGAAAUGCGUAGAUAUCAAGAGGAACACCUGAGGUGAAGACGGGUUGCUGGGCUGACACUGACGCUGAGGCGCGAAAGCUAGGGUAGCAAACGGG
rnacentral:rRNA from 1 species